rnacentral:rRNA from 1 species
GAUGAACGCUGGCGGUAUGCUUAACACAUGCAAGUCGAACGGACACUUUCGGGUGUUAGUGGCGGACGGGUGAGUAACGCGUGAGAAUCUGCCUUUAGGUUCGGGACAACCAUUGGAAACGAUGGCUAAUACCGGAUAUGCAGCAAUGUGAAAGAUAUAUUGCCUAAAGAUGAGCUCGCGUCUGAUUAGCUAGUUGGUGGGGUAAAGGCCUACCAAGGCGACGAUCAGUAACUGGUCUGAGAGGAUGAUCAGUCACACUGGAACUGAGACACGGUCCAGACUCCUACGGGAGGCAGCAGUGGGGAAUUUUCCGCAAUGGGCGAAAGCCUGACGGAGCAAUACCGCGUGAGGGAGGAAGGCUCUUGGGUUGUAAACCUCUUUUCUUAGGGAAGAACAAAAUGACGGUACCUAAGGAAUAAGCAUCGGCUAACUCCGUGCCAGCAGCCGCGGUAAUACGGAGGAUGCAAGCGUUAUCCGGAAUGAUUGGGCGUAAAGCGUCCGCAGGUGGUUUUGUAAGUCUAUUGUUAAAGCGUCUGGCUCAACCAGAUAAUGGCGGUGGAAACUACAAGACUAGAGUCCGUUCGGGGCAGAGGGAAUUCCUGGUGUAGCGGUGAAAUGCGUAGAGAUCAGGAAGAACACCGGUGGCGAAAGCGCUCUGCUAGGCCGGAACUGACACUGAGGGACGAAAGCUAGGGGAGCGAAUGGGAUUAGAUACCCCAGUAGUCCUAGCCGUAAACGAUGGAUACUAGGCGUGGCUUG